AUGAGGCUGAUAGUGGAGCUGGAGCAGGGCAGUGCUACACUGCUGUGUGCGGCCAGUAGGGGCUUCCCCUCAGACUGGAAGCUUGGCUGGAAGGUAGUGGAAACUCUGACAGUGAUAAACUGCUGCAUCUUCACGCUGGGCGCCGUUGAUGGUCAGAGAGAACCUCUUAAUGCGUUUGUAUCACUGUGGUGGACUUUUGGUGGAGGCACCAAACUCAUCGUUGACUUGGGAGUGGUGCAGCCCACGCUGAGCGUCCUCCCUCCCUCCAGAGUGGAGCUGGAGCAGGGCAGUGCUACACUAGUGUGUGUGGCCAGUGGGGGCUUCCCCUCAGACUGGAAGCUUGGCUGGAAGGUGGGGUGCGGCAGCAGGUCUGGGGGGGUGUCAGAUAGCCUGGGGGUCCUGGGGAAAGAUGGCCACUACAGCUGGAGCAGCACCUUGACCCUCCCUGCAGACCAGUGGAGGAAGGCGGGCUCAGUGAGCUGUGAGGCCAGUAAGAAUGGCCAGACGCAGCCUGUCACUCAAACCCUGAAUCCUGGAGAGUGUUCAGAGUAG